UACAGAGGGUGCAAGCGUUGUUCGGAAUCAUUGGGCGUAAAGGGCGUGUAGGCGGUCUGUUAAGUCAUGUGUGAAAUCCCUCGGCUCAACCGGGGAACGACGCAUGAAACUGACAAGCUAGAGUACCAAAGAGGGGGGUGGAAUUCCCUGUGUAGCGGUGAAAUGCGUAGAUAUCGUAAGGAACACCAGUGGCGAAGGCGGCUUUCUGGUCUGUAACUGACGCUGAGGCGCGAAAGCGUGGGGA
rnacentral:rRNA from 1 species